rnacentral:rRNA from 1 species
CAGUCGCCACGGUAAUACGUAGGUGGCGAGCGUUGUCCGGAAUUAUUGGGCGCAAAGGGAGCGCAGGCGGACAUAUAAGUCCAUCUUAAAAGUGCGGGGCUCAACCCCGUGAGGGGAUGGAAACUGUAUGCCUUGAGUGCAGGAGAGGAAAGCGGAAUUCCCAGUGUAGCGGUGAAAUGCGUAGAUAUUGGGAGGAACACCAGUGGCGAAGGCGGCUUUCUGGACUGCAACUGACGCUGAGGCUCGAAAGCCAGGGGAGCGUACGGGAUUAGAUACCCCCGUAGUCCCUGUCUCUUAUACC